UGUGAAACCUGCUUCAUGGAUCCUGGCCAGAAUCUCCUCUGCAAACACAUUUCAUCUCACACCAUUUAUUCCUGAUCCGUCUGGGCGGAUGAGCGCCAGCGUCCUCUCCACAUGCUCCUUUUCCGGCCCGGCCCGCUCCGAGCUCGAGCCCGCCAUCGCCAUCCUGAAGUUCGGGAAGAAGAAAGCCAGCUCCCUGCUGGCCUGCUCGCUGUCAGAGCUGCCAUGUAGAGCGUUCGAAAGGGUCUCGGUCCCGUACUGAGCCCGCAAGCUGAAGAACAGACAACGGCCGGAAAGAGGGAGGUCAGCAGGGAUGGAUGGACCGAGAAACGGAGAAAUGGAGAGAGAGAAGAGCAGAUGGUCUCACUGCUGGGGGGAGGCAAGAGUCCACACAGGAUGUGUUGUGCUAAAACUGUUAGUGCUCAAAUCUGUGAGCACAAUAUGGAACGUCAACUCCCUCGUAUCACUGUUAAAGUACCUCUCUGGCUGAUUGGUCCUGGCCUCUUCCACAUCCGGUGGACCGAUGAAUUCCCGCCAGGCUGGGAUGACGUCCUCACGGC